AACACUGUUAACCUGCGGUACCUGCGGAAGGAUCAUUACCGAGUUAUACAACUCAUCAACCCUGUGAACAUACCUAUAACGUUGCCUCGGCGGGAACAGACGGCCCCGUAACACGGGCCGCCCCCGCCAGAGGACCCCCUAACUCUGUUUCUAUAAUGUUUCUUCUGAGUAAACAAGCAAAUAAAUUAAAACUUUUAGCAACGGAUCU
rnacentral:misc_RNA from 1 species